rnacentral:lncRNA from 8 species
AUGGAGAACAGGGCCCUGAUGUGUACCAGUCAGGCCUGGAAGGGGCCCAAAGGGUCCACCUUCUCCCCCAACUGGGACAACACAUCAUACCAUCCAAACAUCAUGAUGUCCCCUUGUCCUGACGUGGUGAAGUCCCCAUGCCAGCAUGCUGCCAAGAUAUGCCACCCCCCAGAAGCCUCUGUGACCUCCCAGUUCCAGCAGGUUGGCCCCUAUGCCUCCACUGGAUUGUCUGCCAUGGCUAACACUGCCAGUAGAAGGGGUGAAAGGGAGUGUUAUAUAGUCAAUCCCAUUCAAAAUGAGGAGACAGUCCUGCCAGUACACAACCCUGAGUUUCGCGGACGCUCCUUCUCUGCAACCACUGCCUCAAACUCAAUUACUUCCAGAAGCAGAUGUGACAGCUACGUCCACCUAUGCCCUGACAACAGCUCAGAGGACAUUAGUAGAGGCGACAGCUCCCCGUUGAGCCCAGACGUCUCCCCUGAUCACGGUGGUCCACGGUCGCGGUCCCACAGCAUCAUCCUGAGGAAGACGAAGAGGAGGCCGGCGCCGCCAACCCGUAGCGUGUCCCUGAGGAGAGACUCCGCCCACCAGCUCAGAGACAACAGGACCAAGAGCCUCUACAUGGACAGAGACAAAGCUACCCAAGACUCCUUCUUGCCUGACCUCAUCCUCAUCUCCACACCCAGGACAGAGGAGGAGCUGGGCCUGGAGCAGUCCCCUGCUCAGCCUGUACAGGCUCUGGUUGGGCCACCAGUCACCAACAAUGGGCAGCUACGUGAAGUAAGAUCUACUGACCCCUGCUCUUCCAUGUCAAGCUCAGGUCCUGCUAUGGGUAUUACUGGAAAUGAGCACAAAAAAGCCCCCAGCUGGUCAGAAUCGGUCAGACCCUCUCCACCCUUGCGACACCCUCCAUCUCUAACUUGUAAACAGUCCCCCUUACAACCACCUGCCCCAGUCUCCCCCUCCAAUGGCCAGUCCAGCUCUCAGUGUGAGACUUCCCCCACUCCUAUCCUCACGUCUGUCAUCACUGGACCUUCCCCCCUGGGCUGCAGGAUGCGCCCCAAGUCCUCCACCUCACCCACCUCCCCCAGAGCCAGCAACAGCAGGCUGCGGCUGUCCCUGGAGUUGCCAGGGAUUGUCCCUCUCCCAGACCCGACGUCGGUCAAAUCUAAAGCCACGCGGCGUCACUCCGAGUCCUCUAGCACUACCAAACCCAGACAGAGGCUGAGCUCCAGCAUGAUGGUGAUGCCUGUGGUGACCCAGGAGGAUCUCAGCAAUGUGCGUUUACGUUCCGUCAGCAGCUCAGAUUCUGACAAAGGCCUGGAGGGCUCACCUGAAGUCAUCAGGGAAGAGGAGCUGGAACAGGAGCUGGUGAGCUGCCCACUGGUCCACCACAGUCCUAAAGCUAAACCACUUGUUGCUACUAAGCCACCUGCACACAAAUGGCCACCGAUACAUAUGGCAAAGUCCUCCUCAGGCUCUACACAGUUCUCAGAGACCCUUACAGCCUCACCAAGAGAGAGCCAAGGGGACAUGUUUAUGGUGGAAAGAAGAGCGAAGCCUAAGAGGUCGCACCAGCCUCCUCCUCGUGUUGUCAGUGAUGGGGUUAUGGUUGAGAGGCAGCAAGCUGUACACAGGCAACAGUAUGAUGUGACUGACUCACACCCACCACCCGCCUCCUGCCAUUCAGAGACCAGGAACGUGAGAAGGACCUCUCCCACCAGCACCACAUCUCUUCAAGCUGAACUAGAUAGGAAGAAGAAGUUGGUUCCCCCUCCAGUCGCAAAGAAACCUGAUGUCCUCUUCAUGCCCUCCAUCAGCUCACUGGGACAGGAGAGCACCAGGAGCCAUGUCUGGUCUGGGCUCAGUGGUGCUUACCAGGCUCCUGCCAGUGCAUACCAGCCUCCUACCACUGGUUACCAGGCUCCUGCCAGUGCAUACCAGCCUCCUACCACUGGUUACCAGGCUCCUGCCAGUGCAUACCAGCCUCCUACCACUGGUUACCAGGCUCCUGCCAGUGCAUACCAGCCUCCUACCACUGGUUACCAGGUUACUGCCAGUGCAUACCAGCCUCCUACCACUGGUUACCAGGCUCCUGCCAGUGCAUACCAGCCUCCUACCACUGGUUACCAGGUUACUGCCAGUGCAUACCAGCCUCCUACCACUGCUUACCAGGCUCCUGCCAGUGCAUACCAGCCUCCUACCACUGGUUAUCAGGCUCCUGCCAGUGGUUAUCAGUUUCCUGCCAGUGUUUACAGAGACAGAGACUUUACUGGACAAGAUUGCAACCAUAACAGGAUAAGAGAUGGUAUUCUUCAAUUUUAUAUGAAGAACUCACUCACACUGUUUUGA